rnacentral:rRNA from 1 species
UGCAAGUCGAACGGUAACGCGGGGGCAACCCUGGCGACGAGUGGCGAACGGGUGAGUAAUACAUCGGAACAUAUCCAGUAGCGGGGGAUAACCUAUCGAAAGAUGGACUAAUACCGCAUACGAUCUACGGAUGAAAGCAGGGGACCGCAAGGCCUUGCACUAUUGGAGUGGCCGAUGUCGGAUUAGCUAGUUGGUGGGGUAAAAGCUUACCAAGGCGACGAUCCGUAGCUGGUCUGAGAGGACGAUCAGCCACACUGGAACUGAGACACGGUCCAGACUCCUACGGGAGGCAGCAGUGGGGAAUUUUGGACAAUGGGCGCAAGCCUGAUCCAGCCAUGCCGCGUGAGUGAAGAAGGCCUUCGGGUUGUAAAGCUCUUUCGGUGAAGACGAAACGGUUAGCGCUAAUAACGCUGACUAAUGACGGUACUCACAGAAGAAGCACCGGCUAACUACGUGCCAGCAGCCGCGGUAAUACGUAGGGUGCAGGCGUUAAUCGGAAUUACUGGGCGUAAAGCGUGCGCAGGCGGUUUGCUAAGACAGGUGUGAAAUCCCCGAGCUUAACUUGGGAAUUGCGCUUGUAACUGGCAGGCUAGAGUGUAGCAGAGGGGGGUGGAAUUCCACGUGUAGCAGUGAAAUGCGUAGAUAUGUGGAGGAACACCGAUGGCGUAGGCAGCCCCCUGGGUUAACACUGACGCUCAUGCACGAAAGCGUGGGGAGCAAACAGGAUUAGAUACCCUGGUAGUCCACGCCCUAAACUAUGUCAACUAGUUGUCGGGGAAGAAAUUCCUUGGUAACGAAGCUAACGCGUGAAGUUGACCGCCUGGGGAGUACGGCCGCAAGGUUAAAACUCAAAGGAAUUGACGGGGACCCGCACAAGCGGUGGAUUAUGUGGAUUAAUUCGAUGCAACGCGAAAAACC